rnacentral:rRNA from 1 species
CCUACGGGAGGCAGCAGUGAGGAAUAUUGGUCAAUGGACGAGAGUCUGAACCAGCCAAGUAGCGUGAAGGAUGACUGCCCUAGGGGUUGUAAACUUCUUUUAUAAAGGAAUAAAACGAGGCAAGUGUGCCAUUUUGCAUGUACUUUAUGAAUAAAGAACGGCUAACUCCGUGCCAGCAGCCGCGGUAAUACGGAGGAUCCGAGCGUUAUCCGGAUUUAUUGGGUUUAAAGGGAGCGUAGAUGGGUUGUUAAGUCAGUUGUGAAAGUUUGCGGCUCAACCGUAAAAUUGCAAUUGAUACUGGCAGUCUUGAGUACAGUUGAGGUAGGCGGAAUUCGUGGUGUAGCGGUGAAAUGCUUAGAUAUCACGAAGAACCCCGAUUGCGAAGGCAGCUUACUAAACUGUGACUGACAUUGAUGCUCGAAAGUGUGGGUAUCAAACAGGAUUAGAUACCCGGGUAGUC